UAGGGAAUCUUCCACAAUGGACGAAAGUCUGAUGGAGCAACGCCGCGUGAGUGAUGAAGGGUUUCGGCUCGUAAAACUCUGUUGUUGGAGAAGAACGGGUGUCAGAGUAACUGUUGACAUCGUGACGGUAUCCAACCAGAAAGCCACGGCUAACUACGUGCCAGCAGCCGCGGUAAUACGUAGGUGGCAAGCGUUGUCCGGAUUUAUUGGGCGUAAAGCGAGCGCAGGCGGUUUUUUAGGUCUGAUGUGAAAGCCUUCGGCUUAACCGGAGAAGUGCAUCGGAAACCGGGAGACUUGAGUGCAGAGGAGGACAGUGGAACUCCAUGUGUAGCGGUGAAAUGCGUAGAUAUAUGGAAGAACACCAGUGGCGAAGGCGGCUGUCUGGUCUGCAACUGACGCUGAGGCUCGAAAGCAUGGGUAGCGAACAGGAUUAGAUACCCUGGUAGUCCAUGCCGUAAACGAUGAGUGCUAAGUGUUGGAGGGUUUCCGCCCUUCAGUGCUGCAGCUAACGCAUUAAGCACUCCGCCUGGGGAGUACGACCGCAAGGUUGAAAC
rnacentral:rRNA from 1 species